CUCUCAUACCCGCGUCCGCUUCUCAAACCAGAAAGAAAGCCGUGUUCACCGAAGAGAAGUCCGAAAGAGAGAGGUCUCAGAGAUCAUAGUCGUCUUCUUUAAUUGUCGGACAAGUUUACACCAGUACCAGGUUGUUUGGAGGAAGCUCCCUACGGCAUUUGAUGAGCUCCCUAAGAUUUACGGGAUGAAGCUCUGGGCAUAAUCCUUCAGCUCAGCUUUUGCGAUCCCAAAUCUUCAUCGGUGAAUUUUGCGUUAAACUUAAUAUUAUGAAUGCUGGCCUUGUAGGUAGUGGCAUUGAAAUGGUUUCAGUAGUCAACAUAGAUAUGACGUCAGACAUGGAGGGCCGAUCAGCUGC